rnacentral:rRNA from 1 species
ACACGGCGGGUGCUAACGUCCGUCGUGAAGAGGGAAACAACCCAGACCGCCAGCUAAGGUCCCAAAGUCAUGGUUAAGUGGGAAACGAUGUGGGAAGGCCCAGACAGCCAGGAUGUUGGCUUAGAAGCAGCCAUCAUUUAAAGAAAGCGUAAUAGCUCACUGGUCGAGUCGGCCUGCGCGGAAGAUGUAACGGGGCUAAACCAUGCACCGAAGCUGCGGCAGCGACACUAUGUGUUGUUGGGUAGGGGAGCGUUCUGUAAGCCUGUGAAGGUGGCCUGUGAGGGUUGCUGGAGGUAUCAGAAGUGCGAAUGCUGACAUAAGUAACGAUAAAGCGGGUGAAAAGCCCGCUCGCCGGAAGACCAAGGGUUCCUGUCCAACGUUAAUCGGGGCAGGGUGAGUCGACCCCUAAGGCGAGGCCGAAAGGCGUAGUCGAUGGGAAACAGGUUAAUAUUCCUGUACUUGGUGUUACUGCGAAGGGGGGACGGAGAAGGCUAUGUUGGCCGGGCGACGGUUGUCCCGGUUUAAGCGUGUAGGCUGGUUUUCCAGGCAAAUCCGGAAAACCAAGGCUGAGGCGUGAUGACGAGGCACUACGGUGCUGAAGUGACAAAUGCCCUGCUUCCAGGAAAAGCCUCUAAGCAUCAGGUAACAUCAAAUCGUACCCCAAACCGACACAGGUGGUCAGGUAGAGAAUACCAAGGCGCUUGAGAGAACUCGGGUGAAGGAACUAGGCAAAAUGGUGCCGUAACUUCGGGAGAAGGCACGCUGAUAUGUAGGUGAAGCGACUUGCUCGUGGAGCUGAAAUCAGUCGAAGAUACCAGCUGGCUGCAACUGUUUAUUAAAAACACAGCACUGUGCAAACACGAAAGUGGACGUAUACGGUGUGACGCCUGCCCGGUGCCGGAAGGUUAAUUGAUGGGGUUAGCGGUAACGCGAAGCUCUUGAUCGAAGCCCCGGUAAACGGCGGCCGUAACUAUAACGGUCCUAAGGUAGCGAAAUUCCUUGUCGGGUAAGUUCCGACCUGCACGAAUGGCGUAAUGAUGGCCAGGCUGUCUCCACCCGAGACUCAGUGAAAUUGAACUCGCUGUGAAGAUGCAGUGUACCCGCGGCAAGACGGAAAGACCCCGUGAACCUUUACUAUAGCUUGACACUGAACAUUGAGCCUUGAUGUGUAGGAUAGGUGGGAGGCUUUGAAGUGUGGACGCCAGUCUGCAUGGAGCCGACCUUGAAAUACCACCCUUUAAUGUUUGAUGUUCUAACGUUGGCCCCUAAUCGGGGUUGCGGACAGUGUCUGGUGGGUAGUUUGACUGGGGCGGUCUCCUCCUAAAGAGUAACGGAGGAGCACGAAGGUUGGCUAAUCCUGGUCGGACAUCAGGAGGUUAGUGCAAUGGCAUAAGCCAGCUUGACUGCGAGCGUGACGGCGCGAGCAGGUGCGAAAGCAGGUCAUAGUGAUCCGGUGGUUCUGAAUGGAAGGGCCAUCGCUCAACGGAUAAAAGGUACUCCGGGGAUAACAGGCUGAUACCGCCCAAGAGUUCAUAUCGACGGCGGUGUUUGGCACCUCGAUGUCGGCUCAUCACAUCCUGGGGCUGAAGUAGGUCCCAAGGGUAUGGCUGUUCGCCAUUUAAAGUGGUACGCGAGCUGGGUUUAGAACGUCGUGAGACAGUUCGGUCCCUAUCUGCCGUGGGCGCUGGAGAACUGAGGGGGGCUGCUCCUAGU